AGAGUUUGAUCCUGGCUCAGGACGAACGCUGGCGGCGUGCUUCAUACAUGCAAGUCGAACGGGAUCCAAUCAGUGGCAACACUGAGGAAGAUCUAGUGGCGAACGGGUGAGUAACACGUGAGGAACCUAUCCCGGUCUCUGGAAUAACAGGUGGAAACACCUGCUAAUACCGGAUACCGCCGACGCCCCUCCUGGGGUGUCGACGAAAGAUUUAUCGGAUCGGGCGGGCCUCGCGGCCUAUCAGCUAGUUGGUGGGGUAACGGCCUACCAAGGCAUCGACGGGUAGCUGUCCUGAGAGGAUGAUCAGCCACACUGGGACUGAGACACGGCCCAGACUCCUACGGGAGGCAGCAGUAGGGAAUCUUGCGCAAUGGGCGAAAGCCUGACGCAGCAACGCCGCGUGCGGGAAGAAGGCUCUCGGGUUGUAAACCGCUUUCAGUAGGAACGAAAAUGACGGUACCUGCAGAAGAAGGUGCGGCCAACUACGUGCCAGCAGCCGCGGUGACACGUAGGCACCAAGCGUUGUCCGGAUUUAUUGGGCGUAAAGAGCUCGUAGGCGGUUCAGUAAGUCGGGUGUGAAAACUCAGGGCUCAACCCUGAGCUGCCACCCGAUACUGCUGUGACUUGAGUCUGGUAGGGGAGUGGGGAAUUCCUGGUGUAGCGGUGAAAUGCGCAGAUAUCAGGAGGAACACCGGUGGCGAAGGCGCCACUCUGGGCCACGACUGACGCUGAGGAGCGAAAGCAUGGGUAGCAAACAGGAUUAGAUACCCUGGUAGUCCAUGCCGUAAACGUUGGGCACUAGGUGUGGGUUCCAACCA
rnacentral:rRNA from 1 species